rnacentral:tRNA from 2 species
GCAUUAUCAGUAUUGACUACGCUAGCCUUCCAAGCUAGAAUUUUAAUUAAUUUUAAAUAAUGCA